CAGGGCUUCUUUUGGGCCAAACGAUGAGCUCUUUGUCGCUACUUCGUCUCCGCCCUUAUCGGCAUCCCGACGCCCACGGAACCCUAAUUGCCGGCCAUGGACGGAGUUCGCUACCUCCAAGGCGGCAGACGCGGCAGGGAAUUGUGGCCGCCAUACCCACCGGAAUCGUCAUGAGAGAUCGGGCCAAGAACCGAAAGCCCACCCAGAGGGGCCGCUACCUCAGCACCGAGGCCAUCCAGGCAGUCCAGGCCCUGAAGCGGGCCCUUGGGACCGUCGGAGGCGGCGGCGGCGGGGACUCUCUGGAGCGCGUUCUCGCUGCAAAGGUCCGGCGGUUGAUCAAGGGCGACAUGGUCGCCGUCCUCCGCGAGCUCCAGAGCCAGGGUGAAGGCCUCUUGGCGCUUCAGGUUUUUGAGGAGGUUCGAAGGGAGCACUGGUAUAAGCCUCAAUUAUCAGUGUACAAUGAUAUGAUCAAAGUGCUGGCAUCCUGUGGUUUGCCUGAAAAAGUGGAGAAGGUAUGCUCAUAUCUAAAGAUGGAGCAUUUGGAUGCUGAUACUGAAGGUUUUAAUUUGGUCUUGAGGACAUUAUUGGAUUUUGGUUUUGUACAAGCUACCAUGGACUGCUUUCGGCUAAUGAAGCUAUGGGAAAGUGAGCCUGACGAGUCAACAUAUGCAAUAUUAAUCAAUGGCCUUAAAGCUGAGGGAGAAGUAGAUCUUUCAAUUUCGGUAAGAGAGGAAGCAGAGCAACAUCUUGGUGGGCCUUUGGUAUUCUUAGAGAAGAUGGAAGAUGAGAUGGAAUUGACUGGCUAUGGCAACGUUCAUUCUGAACCCUGAGCUGAACACUUUCAAAGGAAUAUAUGUCAAAACAAUGUCCUUAUGACACAUCAUCAGGAAUUGUCACUGACCAAGGAGAGUUGCAUUGCAGCGUGUAGUCAUUUCCGUCUUACGAGAUAUUACAAUGGAGAAUCACCACCAUAAUUUCUUGCUUCCCUUUCUUGUAAGGUUAAUCACUCUGCUCUCCUUUCACAUAACUAUCAUGAAAGUGGAGAGAAGGCCAGACCCCAGCACCUGAUAUCGUCGCUAAAGCUUAACACAUGUUUUUCUUUUUCUGCCAGAAUUUCCAGUACCUUAGUAAUGGCUUCUCUCCUUUUUAUCGUUUCUGCUCAUCUCAACCUUCUCUCUCGUAUGCAUAUUGUAUAACUUGAUGAUUUGAUCAUACUCAGGAAGUAGAGAAAGCUCGUGUAUCUUUGUUAUCUGCA